UUAACUUAAAUUUGUAUGCAGUUGGAACAGCGCCCCUAGCGGCAAACGUAGGUAAACGUUCCAACUCCAUACAAAUUUGAGUUA
rnacentral:pre_miRNA from 1 species